rnacentral:misc_RNA from 1 species
AAGUCGUAACAAGGUAACCGUAGGUGAACCUGCGGUUGGAUCAUUAAUAUAUUUUCUUUUUUUCCUUUUACCUUUUUAAUAAGGUUUAAGGAAAGAAUUAACCCCCAACUUGUGAACCUUUAUUUGUAUUUUUGGGUAAGGUGGUUGCUUGCGAUCAUUAAAAAAAUAAAAAAUAAAUUUUUUUUAUUUUUUUUUUAUUUUUACCUUGCCCAAUAUUUUUAUUUUUUAAGCUCUAGUAGAAUAAACUUGUCUUUAAACAACUUUUUUUUUAAGUUAUUUAUAUAAUUGAAAAAAACAACUUUUGACAACGGAUCUCUAGGCUCUC